UACGUAGGGUGCAAGCGUUAAUCGGAAUUACUGGGCGUAAAGCGUGCGCAGGCGGCUUUGCAAGACAGAUGUGAAAUCCCCGGGCUUAACCUGGGAACUGCAUUUGUGACUGCAUGGCUAGAGUGCGGCAGAGGGGGAUGGAAUUCCGCGUGUAGCAGUGAAAUGCGUAGAUAUCGAGAGGAACACCUGCGGCGAAGGCGGGUUGCUGGGCUGACACUGACGCUGAUGCGCGAAAGCCAGGGGAGCGAACGGG
rnacentral:rRNA from 1 species